rnacentral:rRNA from 1 species
GUAGGGAGCUAGCGUUAUCCGGAUUUAUUGGGUGUAAAGCGUGUGUAGACGGUUUCUUAAGUCUAUAGUCUAAGCCUGGAGCUUAACUCCAGUUCGCUAUGGAAACUGAGAGACUUGAGUAUGGUAGAGGCAAGUGGAAUUUCUAGUGUAGCGGUGGAAUGCGUAGAUAUUAGAAGGAACACCAGUGGCGAAGGCGACUUGCUGGGCCAUCACUGACGUUGAGACACGAAAGCGUGGGGAGCGAA